rnacentral:rRNA from 1 species
UACGGGGGGGGCAAGCGUUGUUCGGAAUUACUGGGCGUAAAGGGCUCGUAGGUGGCCAACUAAGUCAGACGUGAAAUCCCCAGGCUCAACUUGGGAACUGCAUCCGAUACUGGAUGGCUUGAAUUCGGGAGAGGGAUGCAGAAUUCCAGGUGUAGCGGUGAAAUGCGUAGAUAUCUGGAGGAAUACCGGUGGCGAAGGCGGCAUCCUGGACCGACAUUGACGCUGAUGAGCGAAAGCUAGGGGAGCAAUCGGG